rnacentral:rRNA from 1 species
AAAGCGAGCGCAGACGGUUACUUAAGCAGGAUGUGAAAUCCCCGGGCUCAACCUGGGAACUGCGUUCUGAACUGGGUGACUAGAGUGUGUCAGAGGGAGGUAGAAUUCCACGUGUAGCAGUGAAAUGCGUAGAGAUGUGGAGGAAUACCGAUGGCGAAGGCAGCCUCCUGGGAUAACACUGACGUUCAUGCUCGAAAGCGUGGGUAGCAAACAGGAUUAGAUACCCUGGUAGUCCACGCCCUAAACGAUGUCAAUUAGCUGUUGGGCAACUUGAUUGCUUAGUGGCGUAGCUAACGCGUGAAAUUGACCGCCUGGGGAGUACGGUCGCAAGAUUAAAACUCAAAGGAAUUGACGGGGACCCGCACAAGCGGUGGAUGAUGUGGAUUAAUUCGAUGCAACGCGAAGAACCUUACCUGGUCUUGACAUGUACGGAAUCCUCCAGAGACGGAGGAGUGCCUUCGGGAACCGUAACACAGGUGCUGCAUGGCUGUCGUCAGCUCGUGUCGUGAGAUGUUGGGUUAAGUCCCGCAACGAGCGCAACCCUUGUCAUUAGUUGCCAUCAUUUAGUUGGGCACUCCAAUGAGACUGCCGGUGACAAGCCGGAGGAAGGUGGGGAUGACGUCAAGUCCUCAUGGCCCUUAUGACCAGGGCUUCACACGUCAUACAAUGGUCGGUACAGAGGGUAGCCAAGCCGCGAGGUGGAGCCAAUCUCACAAAACCGAUCGUAGUCCGGAUUGCACUCUGCAACUCGAGUGCAUGAAGUCGGAAUCGCUAGU